rnacentral:lncRNA from 1 species
CAACAGGCAUCAGGAACAUACUCAGUCCUCAGUUGCUUCACUCUGUCUGCAUUUCUUUCAAAAGGCACACGGUAUAGCUGUUUUUCUUUCAAAAGGCACACGGUAUAGCUGUUUUUCUUUCAAAAGGCACACGUAUAGCUGUUUUUCUUUCAAAAGGCACACGGUAAUAGCGUUUUUCUUUCAAAAGGCACACGGUAUAGCUGUUUUCUUUCAAAGGCACACGGUAUAGCUGUUUUUCUUUCAAAAGGCACACGGUAUAGCUGUUUUUCUUUCAGAAGCACACGGUAUAGCUGUUUUUCUUUUCAAAAGGCACACGGUAUAGCUGUUUUUCUUUCAGAAGGCACACGGUAUAGCUGUUUUUCUUUCAAAAGGCACACGGUAAGCUGUUUUUUCUUUCAAAAGGUCCACGGUGUAGCUGUUUUUCUUUCAAAAGGCACACGGUAGAGCUUUUUUCUUUCAAAAGGCCCACGGUAUAGCUGUUUUCUUUCAAAAGGCACACGAUAUAGCUGUUUUAGAGACCCUGGUGCCUUUUCAGCAUGCGUACAAUAGUCGGCUAACUUAUGGCUUCCACAUUAUUGAACAUGUUGUUAUUGUCCAAGAUGUGCUGCUGGAAUUUCUGUAAGGUGAAUAUCAUUUCUGG